rnacentral:lncRNA from 1 species
AAACAAACAAAGAAAGAUACUUGCUGCAAUUGUUGUAUUAUUCCUUUCUUUCAUAUGGCUCUGUGAAAAGACAAGGGGAUGGAUUCUGCUCUCAGCUAAACAGGUUUGUGCCUUACUGCUCAAGUGAUAUCUGGAGUGGAACUUUGCCCAAGUCACAGCAAGCAGACUAUGCCUUCAUGGGAUCUCUAAUUAUCCAGGAGGUGAUUAAAGACCUGGUUCCUAAGGGAAUUAAGCAAGCUAAAGUGGUCCUGCUUGCUGGGGAAAGGAUGUGGAAUGGAAUCCUUCCAGAAGAAUGUAAACAGAAGUUCAAGAGAGUUAACGAGUGGCAGUGCCUCCUUGGGUAUAGAUUGUAUUCAUCCUUGAAAUAGCUGUGUUUG